rnacentral:rRNA from 1 species
CCUACGGGUGGCAGCAGUAGGGAAUCUUCCACAAUGGACGAAAGUCUGAUGGAGCAACGCCGCGUGAGUGAAGAAGGGUUUCGGCUCGUAAAGCUCUGUCGGCAGUGAAGAAAGAUAGAGGUAGUAACUAGCCUUUAUUUGACGGUACUUACUUAGAAAGUCACGGCUAACUACGUGCCAGCAGCCGCGGUAAUACGUAGGUGGCAAGCGUUGUCCGGAUUUAUUGGGCGUAAAGCGCUAGCAGGCGGUACAGUAAGUCUGAUGUGAAAGCCUUCGGCUCAACCGGAGAACUGCAUCAGAAACUGUUGAACUGGAGUGCAGGAGAGGAGAGUGGAACUCCAGGUGUAGCGGUGGAAUGCGUAGAUAUAUGGAAGAACACCAGUGGCGAAGGCGGCUAUCUGGUAUGCAACUGACGCUGAGGCGCGAAAGCAUGGGUAGCGAACAGGAUUAGAUACCCGAGUAGUC